AGGACGAACGCUGGCGGCGUGCUUAACACAUGCAAGUCGAGCGGAAAGGCCCUUCGGGGUACUCGAGCGGCGAACGGGUGAGUAACACGUGAGUAAUCUGCCUUCAGCUCUGGGAUAGCUCCGGGAAACCGGGAUUAAUACCGGAUAUGACCACUUCGGACAUCUGUUGUGGUGGAAAGUUUUUCGGCUGGAGAUGAGCUCGCGGCCUAUCAGCUUGUUGGUGGGGUAACGGCCUACCAAGGCGACGACGGGUAGCCGGCCUGAGAGGGCGACCGGCCACACUGGGACUGAGACACGGCCCAGACUCCUACGGGAGGCAGCAGUGGGGAAUAUUGCGCAAUGGGCGGAAGCCUGACGCAGCGACGCCGCGUGGGGGAUGAAGGCCUUCGGGUUGUAAACCCUUUCAGCAGGGACGAAGCGGAAGUGACGGUACCUGCAGAAGAAGCGCCGGCUAACGUACGCGCCAGCAGCCGC
rnacentral:rRNA from 1 species